rnacentral:rRNA from 1 species
CACACCGCCCGUCACAUCACGAAAGCCAGUUGUACUAGAAGCCGGUAAUUCAACCGCAAGGAGACAGCCGUCCAAGGUAUGACUGGUGAUUGGGGUG